rnacentral:ncRNA from 1 species
UAAGAAACGUUGAAGAGAAGAGUAAUUUUCCUUAGUACAUUUAAGAGACCUUCGGUGGCUGCAAAGAAGGAUGGAAAGAGAAGACGAAUAUGAGCUCUGAAGUUGAAUAGCAGUGCAAGCUGAUAUUCCGCUGAUUGCGAUACCAUCAAGUCUUGAUAUAGACUAAGAGGCUAUUACUAUUGGAGUAGUAGCAAUUAAGGUGGUACCACGGGUUUUCGUCCUUUUU